UACGUAGGGGGCAAGCGUUGUCCGGAAUCAUUGGGCGUAAAGAGCGUGUAGGCGGCUCGGUAAGUCCGCUCUGAAAGCCCGGGGGCUCAACCCCGGGAGGCGGGCGGAUACUGUCGGGCUAGAGUCCGGAAGAGGCGAGUGGAAUUCCGUGGUGUAGCGGUGAAAUGCGCAGAUAUCAGGAGGAACACCAAUGGCGAAGGCAGCUCGCUGGGACGGUACUGACGCUGAGACGCGAAAGCGUGGGGAGCAAACAGG
rnacentral:rRNA from 1 species